GGGACGCCCUGCGCAUGCGUGCCAGCGCCCAUGCAAAUCUGCUGUGCAUCCAGAGAGCAAAGUGGGAUGAUCUGUCACUACACCUGCAGCACCACGCUCGGAGGACAGCUCCUGCCUGCAGCUUCCAGACCCAGGAAGCCUGAGGGGAAGGAAGGAAGUACGGGCGAAAUCAUCAGAUUGGCUUCCCAGAUUUGGGAAUCUGAAGCGGGCCCACAUCUUCCGGCCAACUUCCAUUGAACUUCCCAGCACUCGAAAGGGACCGAAAUGGAGAGCAAAGGUAUGUGGUUGUCCCUAUCGGGGGACUUCCCGCUGCAUGUGCGUGUGGCCAAGGCAAUCCUCGGCGAGGGGACUGCAGUGCUUGGGGAGCGAGCAUCAUACUAGGUCGAUAGAGGAGGAGAUGCUAUGUCCAUUGCAGCACUGGGGAAGUGUGGCAGGAAGGCGACUUCUUUUUAACUCCCACAGCUUGGAAGACAGUGUUUAAUACUCCAUCAGUUGCGUAGUGAAGUGUGAUGAGUUUUUUGGGGGGAGGUGGGGAGAGUCCCCCCAAAAUGGAGGAGGAGGAGGAGGUAUGUGUUAGUAAAGCAAUAUCUUUUCUGUAUAAUGGAUGGACUCAAAUAAAUCUAUUUCAUUUGCUUUAGAAUUGCUGACAGGCACGUUUGUAUCUGAUAUCCAAUAAUGCAUUGCUAAAAAAAAAAAUGUUUGAAUUUCACCGCCCCCACCUCAUGAAGAUGGUAUUUCUGGGUGUGUAUGACCACAUCCUACUGCAUUUUGAAUAUAUAUCAGCAGAGAAAUUGGGUCUAUUUGGAACAGCAUGCGUUAGAACUGACCUCUAAGAGGAACAGUGUAUGGGAGUACUGCUUGGCUUCCAAGCAUAAUGCAUUUACUAGUUCUGGACAUGUACAUAUUAAUGUUCUCCUCAUAAGCAAAUCUGCAUAAUGUAUGCAUGCCAACUGAUAAAUGAACUGUAAAAAUCAACUUCUAAUUGGCAUAUUGAACACACAUAAACACAACGACUAUUCUAACCACAAGAUUAGAUAUCUUUUGG
rnacentral:lncRNA from 1 species